rnacentral:rRNA from 1 species
GACGAACGCUGGCGGCGUGCUUAACACAUGCAAGUCGAACGGAAAGGCCCUGCUUUUGUGGGGUGCUCGAGUGGCGAACGGGUGAGUAACACGUGAGUAACCUGCCCUUGACUUUGGGAUAACUUCAGGAAACUGGGGCUAAUACCGGAUAGGAGCUCCUGCUGCAUGGUGGGGGUUGGAAAUUUUCGGCGGUUGGGGAUGGACUCGCGGCUUAUCAGCUUGUUGGUGGGGUAGUGGCUUACCAAGGCUUUGACGGGUAGCCGGCCUGAGAGGGUGACCGGCCACAAUGGGACUGAGAUACGGCCCAGACUGCUACGGGAGGCAGCAGUGGGGAAUAUUGCACAAUGGGCGGGAGCCUGAUGCAGCAACGCCGCGUGCGGGAUGACGGCCUUCGGGUUGUAAACCGCUUUCGCCUGUGACGAAGCGUGAGUGACGGUAAUGGGUAAAGAAGCACCGGCUAACUACGUG